rnacentral:misc_RNA from 1 species
GGAUGAAGAACGUAGCGAAAUGCGAUAAGUAAUGCGAAUUGCAGAAUUCAGUGAAUCAUCGAAUCUUUGAACGCACAUUGCGCCCGCCAGUACUCUGGCGGGCAUGCCUGUCUGAGCGUCAUUUCAACCCUCGCCCCCGGCUUCUGUCGGGGACGGUGUUGGGGAUCGGCCUCCCGUCUUCCGGGUGGCCGGCCCCUAAAUUGAGUGGCGACCACGCCGUAACCUCCUCUGCGUAGUAGUUAAACACUCGCGGGCGGAGAGCGGUGCGGCCUGCCGUAAAACCCCCAACUCUUCUAAGGUUGACCUCAGAUUAGGUAGGAAUACCCGCUGAACUUAAGCAUAUCAAUAAGGGAGGA